UUCUGGCUCAGGAUGAACGCUGGCGGCGUGCUUAACACAUGCAAGUCGAACGGAGUUUUAAACGGAAGUCCUCGGAUGGAAGUUUAGAAACUUAGUGGCGGACGGGUGAGUAACGCGUGGGUAACCUGCCUCAUACAGGGGGAUAACAGUCGGAAACGAUUGCUAAAACCGCAUAACAUAGCGAAACCGCAUGAUUUUGCUAUCAAAUAUUUAUAGGUAUGAGAUGGGCCCGCGUCUGAUUAGCUAGUUGGUGGGGUAAUGGCCUACCAAGGCGACGAUCAGUAGCCGGCUUGAGAGAGUGACCGGCCACAUUGGGACUGAGACACGGCCCAAACUCCUACGGGAGGCAGCAGUGGGGAAUAUUGGACAAUGGGGGAAACCCUGAUCCAGCGAACCGCCGCGUGAGUGAAGAAGUAUUUCGGUAUGUAAAGCUCUAUCAGCAGGGAAGAUAAUGACAGUACCUGACUAAGAAGCCCCGGCUAACUACGUGCCAGCCGCUGC
rnacentral:rRNA from 1 species